AGUCGAACGGCAGCACGGGUGCUUGCACCUGGUGGCGAGUGGCGAACGGGUGAGUAAUACAUCGGAACAUGUCCUGUAGUGGGGGAUAGCCCGGCGAAAGCCGGAUUAAUACCGCAUACGAUCCACGGAUGAAAGCGGGGGACCUUCGGGCCUCGCGCUAUAGGGUUGGCCGAUGGCUGAUUAGCUAGUUGGUGGGGUAAAGGCCUACCAAGGCGACGAUCAGUAGCUGGUCUGAGAGG
rnacentral:rRNA from 1 species